UUGCGCCCCGGACAAGUGCCUCGCUCUAGUCGGGGUCCUGCUUGCUGAUGCUCCAUCCAUCCAUCCGCCCUGCAGGUGGAAAGGCCGGAGGCGGCUGGCCAUCUAGGCACCACCGGCGUCUUUCUGGGCUUUGUUUUCAGUUCACUGUCCUUACUAAAAUUUCUGUGAAGUGUUUGUAUACCCACAGGUAUACAGAAUAAUAUAAUGGCCAUCCGUUUACUGACUCCCCAGAUUGGAACAUACACCUUCACUGUGGAGUUCAGCUUCCUUCUAAAAGCCCCUUAAGACUGAGAGAUGCUCCUGGUGGGAGGGAUCGUGUUCCUGCUGUUUGCCUUCACCUCUAAGGUAAAGACAGCGUUAUUCCACGUGGCUGAGGCCAUCUGGGUGUUGUGAAAAGGGCCUGGACUGACCCUUGCAUUAGGUGACCAGGGUGAGGCCUCGAAGUCCCCUUGUGUGGUCUCUGUUAAAUCACCUUCCCACUCAGCCUCCGUUUCUCUGGGUGUAAACUGGGAAUACCAGUCCUUACCCAUAAGAUGUUGGUGCAUAUCAGUGAAAGUGAAAUGACUGCCUACACCUGUGAGCGCAUUUCGGCCGGGGACCACCAGGAACAUACGUGUAGUUAAGUAAGUUGGGUGUAUCACUUGUUGCAGCCAGGCGCCUUGGUAAGAGGAUGUGAGAAAGAACCUACAGGAUUUGGGCUUUGGUCACGUGAUUUGGGAGAGGGUCUGAGGAAGUAGAGUUUUGCUCUGCACUGGAUGAUGUCAGGAAGCGGGGCGAUUCUGUGAUGGCUAUUUUGUGGUGGCACAGUGACCUUACUUUUGUCUGUGCUUAAACAGAAUGGUGAAGUGGCUUUGUUUUUUUUCAUUUUAUCAGUGUCGGAGUAACUUUGUGUCUUACUCCGUUUGGGCUGCUAUGAUAAAAUACCGUAAACUGGGUCGCUUAUAAACAACAGAAAUUUAUUUCUCACCUUUCUGGAGGCUGGGAAGUCCACGAUCAAGGUGGCAGCAGGUUUGGCGUCUGGUGAAGCCCGAUUCCUGGUUCACAGACCCCUGUCUUUUGGCUCUGUCCUCACGUGGCAGGAGGGGUGAGUGAGCUCUCUGGGGCUGCUUUUAUAAGGGCACCUAUCCGUUCGAGAGCGCUCGGCAUUCAGGACCGAAUCACCUCUAAAAGGCCCCACCUCGAGGUUUCAACGGAUGAAUUUUAAGGGGACACAAACAUUCAGUCUGUAGCACCUUGUGUGCAGUUGUUGCUCUUUGAGAAUGUUUACGUCCAACAGGAAAACGAAAUGGCCCGGCUGUGAGUGUCAGCUCAGCUUGUAAUAACCUUGAGGUGAAGCUGUGACUAUCAGGUCAGUUGCUGGUGUCAGAGACUUCCAGCCAUGAGCUCUCCAGCCCAGGGGACUUGACCUAACAGGGCCGUCAAUGGGAAGAGAGAAGUUAGGUGACUAGAGUCACUAAGCAAUAUUUUAUGACUGUCAAAUGAAAGCAGUCUUUAUUGAGCACUGUGAGCCAGCCCUCUCCUGGUGCUGGGCCGUGGCCGCGACGAAGAGAGAUGUGGUCCCUGCCCUCACUACCCGACCACAGCGCCUGCGCCCUGCAAGCUACCAGUGAGAGGCACAAAACUGCCCGUGCGCUCCAGGGGGUCAGAGGGAAAAUGCAUGGAGUCCAACAGGCUCAGGGCAGGAAACAGGGCCAGCAAAGGCGAGCUGGGUAGAGAUGAGGUGCGAAUAAGAUAAGUGGAAUUUAAAAAAAUAAACAGCCCACCCCUAUUCUGGGCAAUAAAAGCAUUUUGAUGCUGGAAGGAGUCUUAGAGGUCAUGAAACUCAACCAGCCACUUCUACAUAGGGGAAGUGACUUAUUUUCGAGGCGGCAAUUUGUUCCCAGGGUCUUUAGUGGAAUGGAAGUCAGGAUGCAGGCGAGUGUGAGAUGGGGGCUGGGAGAGAGAAGGGUAAAGUGCCUAUUCUGAGUGGCCUGCCCCCAGCUCCGUUCUGUGACUGGUUCAGCAUUUUAUUAAUUGCAUGGUGAGCUAGGUUUUUAAGGUACCCCUUAUUUAGAGCCGGCAUGAAGGCCUUUUUGAAAGUCUUAGGAAAGCUCGUUCCCUCGGAUCUACUUACUCCACAAAGAACCAUUUCUUCUUUCCCCAUAAUGGAAUCACUAUCGUGUUUUAGCCAUUCAGAGACCAGCUGAUGCUGGGCCAUUUAGCGCUUCCCCUCCCCCAUGCCCAGGGCCUCAGUGGAGUUGGGGGGCUUGGGAUCUGAGGGCCAGGCACCCCCCUCACUAACUGUGACUUUGAGCUUGUUGAGCCUCGUUCCCUCCUCUGAGACCCCUGAUUUGCCUACUUCAUAUGGCUAUUUUGAGAUAAAAUUUUAUUUUUAUUUUUAUUAUCUUAUAAAUAUAUAUGUUAUAUUUUUAUUUUCUUAUUGACAACUGAUCUUGUAUUUUUUCUUUUAUUUUCUAGGACCACAUAGUUUGUUUAGGAAAUAAUGUUACUUCUCUAGUCUGUAAAAUAAUGUUUUAGGUGCUUCCAAUGUAAGCGGAUUUUUAAGAAACAUGUUUUUCUUAUCAAAGUAUAAAGUAUUGUGUAACUGUUCUUCACUGUCAUCCUUUGGUAUUUGUUUCUUUUCUGUUUACCGCUUUCCCUGUAAAGACUUCCAGGAACACACCGCUUUGAGAAAGGCAAGAAUGAAUUUUCGCCCAGUGCACACUUCUAUUUGCAUGCAGAAUAUUUUGAGCACGCUGUGGGUGGCUCUCUGUUCAGGAGGAAAGCACAGGGUCUCCGCAGAAUGCCUUUGCUAAGCAUUGCUCUCAUCCCCCCCACAGUGGAAGAGCAAUAGCAGAGGACGCUGCCUUGAUGAGGGCCCACUAAGAAUGGGCCUGGCUGCAGUGGGGUCUUAGUCCAUUCAGUGUGACGUAACAAAAUACCGGACACCGGGUAGCUUACAAACAACAGGAAUUUAUUUCUUACAGUUCUAAAGGCUGGGAAGUCCAAGAUCAAGGUGGUGGCAAAUUGGUGUCUGGUGAGAGCCUCCUUCAUAGACCUCUUUUUGCUCUGUCCUCACGUGGUGGAAGGGGCUGGGGAGUUCUGUGGGAUCUCUGUUAUAGGAACACUAAUCCCAUUCAUGAGGGCUUCACCCUCAGGGCCUAAACACCUCCCAAAGGCCCCACGUGCCAACACCAUCUCAUUGGGUGUUUGGAUUUCAACACAUGACUUCAGGGGGCAUACAAACAUUCACACCAUAGCAUUUAGCUAAGAGGAGCCUCUUUCCAAAUAUCAGAUUUCCCUCCUUUCCCACAACUCCUUUCAGAAGAUGAUUUCUGAAAGCACGUUUACUGCCUGUUAAUUAGCAGUGACAUCCACUUUAGCCUUCCCUAAUUAUUCUAUCUGGAGCCCUCUCUCCGACUGCUAUGCAGCCAGCAGAGACGGCCUUGCGAAAAGGCCUUGUAGCAAGCACUCUUGUCCGCCCAAGGUCCCUGAGUCCUCCUGCUCUCCCCUCCCUGACUUCCUGUCCUCCCCUCCCUGUAGGUACAGUCCUUUGCAAUGCAACUUUGCUCCUUCUCCCAUCAAGAGGCGCAAUCUAUUUCUCCACUCCUGGAAGAUGGGUUUGGUCACGUGAUUUGCUUUGGCCAAUGGGGCGUUAGUAGAUGUGACGUAAGCGGAAGCCCCAGAGCACUCACGCGCAGGGGGGGAUUCUUGCUUUUGCUGCUGGGAGCCUGGGGUCCCCUGUGGUGAAGCCUGGGCUGGUCUGCUGGAGGACGCGGGGACCCGCUGUUGCACCUCACGGCCUUGCACCCACCAGUGUGCCAACCAGCUUGAUGGAGUGAGCGCUCCAGCCCACCCACCGACUGGCCGCAGGGUGAGCGGCUGGCCCAGGUCGGGAGGACUGCCCAGCGGAACUACAGAACUGUAAACCAAAUAGAACGGAUGUCCGGAGUGGAGUCACACUCCAACGCCCCGUGUAUGACCACGCUCUGCACAACUCACCGCAAUACACAUGCCGGCACUCACUUCAGCAAAUGUGUACCUACUAUGUGCGCCUUUCAAGGAGUGGUGACAUUAUGGGUUUAAAGGAGAAAUGCCAUUCACAAAUUUUGUCAGAUGUGUAAGUCUGGUUCUACAGACAUUUUGCAGGAGGUCUUACUAUGGUCCUAGUACGUCACACUUCAUAUGGGGCUUCCGGAGGGCUCUCACACAGAACAGGAGAAUUUAAUCAGUCUCAGACUGGGGACUUCCCAGGCCACACCUGCUGUUCCUUUGGUUCGCCUCCAUUCUAACUGUCCUAAAGAUCAACCUUAAGUAACAAUGAUUUGCUCCAGUUCCAGGCCGUGGUAACUUGUGAAAAAUCUUUGGCCAACUAUGUGUAGAGUCAGCAUUAAACUUCAGUCCUCCUACCUGGCA